AUUGAACGCUGGCGGCAGGCUUAACACAUGCAAGUCGAACGAGUGGCGGACGGGUGAGUAAUGUUUGGGAAUCUGGCUUAUGGAGGGGGAUAACGACGGGAAACUGUCGCUAAUACCGCGUACCAUCGGAUGAGCCCAAGUGGGAUUAGGUAGUUGGUAGGGUAAUGGCUUACCAAGCCGACGAUCGCUAGCUGGUCUGAGAGGAUGACCCGCCACACGGGGACUGAGACAGGGCCCGGACGCCUACGGGAGGCAGCAGUGGGGAAUCUUGCGCAAUGGGGGAAAGCGGACGCAGCCAAGUCGCGUGAAGGAAGAAGGCCUUCGGGUGGUAAAAUUCUGUCGGUGACGGGGCGUUAACCAAAGAAGAAGCACCGGCUAACUCCGUGCCAGCAGCCGCGGUAAUAC
rnacentral:rRNA from 1 species